UAGCUCAGUGGUAGAGUACAUGUUUAGCAUGCACGAAGUCCUGGGUUCAAUCCCCAG
rnacentral:tRNA from 1 species